UGCACAGACAACCAGGAUGUUGGCUUAGAAGCAGCCACUCAUUUAAAGAGUGCGUAAUAGCUCACUGGUCGAGUGAUUCUGCGCCGAAAAUUUCCGGGGCUAAAACUUACUACCGAAGCUACGGCAUCAUUAUGAUGGGUAGGGGAGCUUUCUAUGCGGCUUGAAGCAUGACCGUAAGGACAUGUGGACUGCAUAGAAGUGAGAAUGUUGGCAUGAGUAGCGAGAUGUGGGUGAGAAUCCCACAGGCCGUAAACCCAAGGUUUCCAGGGGAAGGUUCGUCCGCCCUGGGUUAGUCAGGACCUAAGCCGAGGCCGAAAGGCGUAGGUGAUGGACAACAGGUUGAUAUUCCUGUACCGCCAAUAAGCGUUUGAGAGAUGGAGUGACACAGUAGGAUAAGCUAACCGUACUGUUGGUUAUGUACGGCUAAGCAUUGAGGCAGUCUAAAUAGGCAAAUCCGUUUAGACAAUGCUAGGAUGUGAUGGGGAAGCCCUUCGGGGCGAAGUAGCUGAUUUCACACUGUCAAGAAAAGCUUCUAUCGAGUUUAAAGGCGCCCGUACCGUAAACCGACACAGGUGGGUGAGGAGAGUAUCCUAAGGCCAGCGAGAGAACUAUUGUUAAGGAACUCGGCAAAAUGACCCCGUAACUUAGGGAGAAGGGGUGCCUGUCUAUGACAGGCCGCAGAGAAUAGGCCCAAGCGACUGUUUACCAAAAACACAGGUUUCUGCUAAGUCGCAAGACGAUGUAUAGGAGCUGACGCCUGCCCGGUGCUGGAAGGUUAAGGGGAUCUGUUAGAGCAAUCGAAGCAGUGAACUUAAGCCCCAGUAAACGGCGGCCGUAACUAUAACGGUCCUAAGGUAGCGAAAUUCCUUGUCGGGUAAGUUCCGACCCGCACGAAAGGCGUAACGAUUUGGGCACUGUCUCAACAAUAGACUCGGUGAAAUUGUAAUCCCGGUGAAGAUGCCGGGUACCUGCGACAGGACGGAAAGACCCCAUGGAGCUUUACUGUAGCUUGACGUUGGGUCUUGGUACUACAUGUACAGGAUAGGUGGGAGACUAUGAAGCAUGGACGCCAGUCUGUGUGGAGUCAUCCUUGGGAUACCACCCUUGUAGUACUGGGAUCCUAACCAUAGGCCUUGAAUCAGGUCUUGGAACACCGUCAGGUGGGCAGUUUGACUGGGGCGGUCGCCUCCUAAAAAGUAACGGAGGCGCUCAAAGGUUUCCUCAGCACGGUCGGAAAUCGUGCGAAGAGUGUAAAGGCAAAAGGAAGCUUGAUUGCAAGACAUACAGGUCGAGCAAGGACGAAAGUCGGACUUAGUGAUCCGGUGGUUCCGCAUGGAAGGGCCAUCGCUCAACGGAUAAAAGCUACCCUGGGGAUAACAGGCU
rnacentral:rRNA from 1 species